GCCCAGUCAACAGAAUGGAGAAAAGAGAAAUUUGGUUUGAAAUGAAAUUUGAGUCUUGAGAGAGGGCUGAUAUGGAGAAGGAGAAUCAAACAAGCCACGUGGGAGCAUCUGAAGGCCUGGAGAUGAGGGCCUGUUGCGUAACUGUGAAAAUUUGGCCUUUAAAAUAACUAGGCAUGGGCCAGAAACCAGAGCCAGUGGCUGCAACCACCCAAAUUGCCAAGAUGGUACAGAAAGAAGAAGUGGCAAAGCAACACUUAAACUCAAACCUGCCCAGCUUCAAAGUCCAUGCCCUUCCCCGGGCUUCAGACUGCCAUCUUCGAUGUUAUCUUUCAUUGAGAUGUUGUUUGCAUUAAAUGGGGGAUCUUCUGGCACACGGUGGA